UACAGAGGGUGCAAGCGUUGUUCGGAAUUAUUGGGCGUAAAGGGAGUGUGGGCGGCUUGUUAAGUCUUCUGUGAAAUCUACGGGCUCAGCCUGUAACGUGCAGAGGAAACUGGCGAGCUUGAGUGUCGGAGAGGAUAGGGGAAUACCCGGUGUAGAGGUGAAAUUCGUAGAGAUCGGGUGGAACACCAGUGGCGAAGGCGCCUAUCUGGCUGACAACUGACGCUGAGACUCGAAAGCAUGGGGAGCAAACAGG
rnacentral:rRNA from 1 species